AUUGAACGCUGGCGGCAUGCCUUACACAUGCAAGUCGAACGGCAGCACGGGUGCUUGCACCUGGUGGCGAGUGGCGAACGGGUGAGUAAUACAUCGGAACAUGUCCUGUAGUGGGGGACAGCCCGGCGAAAGCCGGAUUAAUACCGCAUACGAUCUACGGAUGAAAGCGGGGGACCUUCGGGCCUCGCACUAUAGGGUUGGCCGAUGGCUGAUUAGCUAGUUGGUGGGGUAAAGGCCUACCAAGGCGACGAUCAGUAGCUGGUCUGAGAGGACGACCAGCCACACUGGGACUGAGACACGGCCCAGAUUCCUACGGGAGGCAGCAGUGGGGAAUUUUGGACAAUGGGCGAAAGCCUGAUCCAGCAAUGCCGCGUGUGUGAAGAAGGCCUUCGGGUUGUAAAGCACUUUUGUCCGGAAAGAAAUCCUUGGCUCUAAUACAGUCGGGGGAUGACGGUACCGGAAGAAUAAGCACCGGCUAACUACGUGCCAGCAGCCGCCGUAAGAC
rnacentral:rRNA from 1 species